UACGAAGGGGGCUAGCGUUGCUCGGAAUGACUGGGCGUAAAGGGCGCGUAGGCGGAUGGCACAGUCAGAUGUGAAAUUCCCGGGCUUAACCUGGGGGCUUCAUUUGAUACGUGUUGUCUUGAGUUCGGAAGAGGGUCGUGGAAUUCCCAGUGUAGAGGUGAAAUUCGUAGAUAUUGGGAAGAACACCGGUGGCGAAGGCGGCGACCUGGUCCGACACUGACGCUGAGGCGCGAAAGCGUGGGGAGCAAACAGG
rnacentral:rRNA from 1 species